AUACUUACCUGGCGUAGGGGAUACCGUGAUAAUGCAAGCGGUUCCCCCAGGGCGAGGCUGCUCUAUUGCAUUGCGGAGCGAUUGAACCUUGCGAUUAUUUUUAUCAAAAAAAAUUACAAUAAAAAUGUAUACUCGAAUAAUUAUAUUCUUUAUGC